GCCUCAGGUACAUCACCUGACAUACUUGUCAGACUCUCUUACCAAACUAAUCCGGACCAGCCAACAUAUCCAGCUGUCCAUGGUCUCACCGUAAACAAAGUCAGUUUCUAAAGUAGAUUCUUGAUGGCAAGUAAUAGAUGUUCUUAUCCUGGUGCUUGUUAAUUGCCUCUUUCAUAUAUGUUAACGAAAUUCUUCUCAUCACUUCAGGUGUCGUUCCGACUGACCAGAACGCAUCCUGUCACCUUGCCAGGCGUAGUUGCCGUCCAUCCUCAGUUUCCACCAGCCUCAGCCUCAGCCUCAUCCUCCAGCCGCCUCACCGUCAACAAUCCAACGGUCACCGACUUCUUCACGCCAUCUGGUGUUACCUCCUAAGAUGCAGUGUGGUGACAGCUACCCUCUCCAACAUCCGCCAAUUACACCGCUUCAUGUGCAGGAAUUGACACCCUCUGAUACACUCUAUAUCCAUGAAUCAUUAACUUAACAUGUUGGAAUUAUCAAGAUCUGUUUUGUAUGUUUAAAACUUGGUACAACAUCCUGCUUUUGACACGUUCGUCCACUUACAAGUCCCUGAAGUUGUCCAUGUGUACCAUCUGAUGACUCGGCAGCUCUGAGGUGUUGAGGGGUGUUUCAUGUCUCAUGGCUCAGUUUCUGCCUGAAAUACCCGCUAACACCUUCUAGUUGAACGAUGACUCGGUUGUAUUCACAAACAUUUUCUAGGGUAAUUGUAUUUGGUCAACGUCUUUAGGGGAUUGUUGUGAAAGAUUUUAAUACAGGAAGUAUGUAUCUUCCGAGAACGCAUUUGGUUAAAACGUCACCUCAACAAAAUAUUUCGGUUGACAUUCAUGAUACAUUGAGAAUAUUCCAAAUCAUGUGCGGUGUAGGGAAGGAUGUUGGCAGUAUCUACCACUGACGUCUAUGGAUGUUGAACAGAACUAAGUGAUAAGGCACCCUUGACGCAGCUGUACACAGCCCCGUCUACCACACCGGUCUACCACAUCCGUCUACUGCAACCGUCACCGCUCUUAAUCUAUGGCAUUUCCCCCGAAUAUCAAUGGACUAGAGUGGACCAAGCUUCUUUCCUCCACGAUGUUUCUGAACUCUCAAGGAGUGGAGUGUCCCAACAGCCAUGCUGCUCCAAUAUCUGCGGUUGUCACACUAAAGUCUACAACACGACAAUCUGUAUAGUCAUAGUUACAAAGGAUGCUGACAACAUCAGAUAUCAGUUGAUACAGUUAACUCAGUCUUCAAUUCAAAUCCCUUCUCCUAGAUCAGUUAUAAUUGUCUUUCAACGUCACCUGUUUUGGGGUACAACGUAAUUCUAACUUCCCUGUUCUAUUACCACUUACUCCAAAGCCGUCAUAUGAAAUUUAUUUUGGUCUCUAUCAGGGUGAUGGAUAUAUACAGGUGUAGUUGAGCCAUGCUGCCCUGGAUAUAUACAUCUGAAUACAAAUAAGUACAGAUCAAACGUUUCAAAUUUCAAAAGUUGAGGAUACACACAGGUUGCCGCCAUGCUUCAAAUUCUGUCUGCAUUUGUCAUCUUAAUUUGUAAACUUUCUUUCGGCCUUUCGUGAGAAUGGAUAUAUACAGAUGUGGUUGAGCCAUGCUGCUCUGGAUGUAUUCAUUUGAUACCUUCUAAACAAGCAGUCUUCAAAGUACAAACAGGGAUAUCAUAUCAAAUCAUAAUUAAACUGUACAAACAAUUCAAAAAGUCAAUCGAAAAGUUGAUCUGGGUCACAUUUGAUCUUGUCAUUCCAGUGAUAUUAAUGACGAAAAAUAUUUCAUAUCUAUAGCCAAACAUUCAAUAAGUAUAAACGUUUUACCUUGAGGUGACGUCCUCCUUGAAGUGAUUGAAGGGUUAGGGUCGAUUGUUAACAUGCCACGGUGUCUGAUUGUCUGAUGUUCUUAAUAUACAGCUAAAAGCAUUUCUAUAUAUUUUUCAUGCUCCUUUCAUUGUAACAUGAUUCGCUGUGCAGAGUUGCCUCCCUUGGGCACGCCAGAAACCUAUG